UACGUAGGGUGCGAGCGUUGUCCGGAAUUAUUGGGCGUAAAGAGCUCGUAGGCGGUUUGUCGCGUCGGCCGUGAAAACUUGGGGCUUAACCCCAAGCCUGCGGUCGAUACGGGCAGACUUGAGUUCGGCAGGGGAGACUGGAAUUCCUGGUGUAGCGGUGAAAUGCGCAGAUAUCAGGAGGAACACCGGUGGCGAAGGCGGGUCUCUGGGCCGAUACUGACGCUGAGGAGCGAAAGCGUGGGGAGCGACAGG
rnacentral:rRNA from 1 species